AUGGAGGGUGGCCGGCACCUCCUGCAUCACCCCCCACACUCUCAGGUAAGAGUAGCCACCACCCUCAUCAAAGAAACUUCUCUACAGCAAAUGGAGACCACCACAGAAGACCACAAGACAACUUCUAACCAAACUCCCAGCCUUCCUCCCAGGUUGCUACUAAAAUUCAGGGAGAGAGAGUGGGAACACAUGCUUUAUAGGCACAUAAUUCACUUCUCCACCCUGGAGCUAAUACUACUGCUGAUGAUAUGUUUUCCAGAAAUUGGUCACUUCUCUGUGCCACCUCUGUGAAAGCAACAUACUUGAAGGACGGGUGGCAGGAACCCACACUCUGGUUCCUAGCAGAUCUGAGAGUCUCCGUGUUUAAUUUCCGCUUUAAUUUUGCUUAUUAAUUAAUAAAGAGAGCAUUGAAAUAUUCA
rnacentral:lncRNA from 1 species